GGCCAUUCAUGAAGCGCACCCAACGGGCCACUGCCCGAUUUACGAGUUUCCUGGUUUUUUCAAUGGCCAUACAGCUCAGCGCACCGCGCCAAAAAAUUCUCUUCAGGAAGGAGGACCAGAACACCGUUGUUCUGGGGCACAAGGCAGCAAACGCAUCCAAGUCUCUUUUUAUAUUCCACAACAAGUCCGCACUCCUUCUGUAAGCAAGGUCAUUUUCCCCUAAU